GGCUUCGUGGUGUAGUUGGUUAUCACGUCAGUCUAACAGAAUGGGCUAGUCCCAGUACACUGAAGGUCCCCAGUUCGAGCCUGGGCGAAGUCA